GCAGAGCCCGACGCCGGGCUCCCGGACGAGGGUGCCGUACCCGGACAGCGACAAGACGGCCGCAUG
rnacentral:ncRNA from 1 species